rnacentral:rRNA from 1 species
CGAAAAUGUUGUCUCUCUUGAGUGGAUCCUGAGUACGACGGAGCACGUGAAAUUCCGUCGGAAUCUGGGAGGACCAUCUCCUAAGGCUAAAUACUCUCUAGUGACCGAUAGUGAACCAGUACCGUGAGGGAAAGGUGAAAAGCACCCCGGAAGGGGAGUGAAAUAGAACCUGAAACCGUGUGCUUACAAGUAGUCAGAGCCCGUUAAUGGGUGAUGGCGUGCCUUUUGUAGAAUGAACCGGCGAGUUACGAUUUGAUGCAAGGUUAAGCAGUAAAUGUGGAGCCGUAGCGAAAGCGAGUCUGAAUAGGGCGUUUAGUAUUUGGUCGUAGACCCGAAACCAGGUGAUCUACCCUUGGUCAGGUUGAAGUUCAGGUAACACUGAAUGGAGGACCGAACCGACUUACGUUGAAAAGUGAGCGGAUGAACUGAGGGUAGCGGAGAAAUUCCAAUCGAACCUGGAGAUAGCUGGUUCUCUCCGAAAUAGCUUUAGGGCUAGCCUCAAGUGAUGAUUAUUGGAGGUAGAGCACUGUUUGGACGAGGGGCCCCUCUCGGGUUACCGAAUUCAGACAAACUCCGAAUGCCAAUUAAUUUAACUUGGGAGUCAGAACAUGGGUGAUAAGGUCCGUGUUCGAAAGGGAAACAGCCCAGACCACCAGCUAAGGUCCCAAAAUAUAUGUUAAGUGGAAAAGGAUGUGGCGUUGCCCAGACAACUAGGAUGUUGGCUUAGAAGCAGCCAUCAUUUAAAGAGUGCGUAAUAGCUCACUAGUCGAGUGACACUGCGCCGAAAAUGUACCGGGGCUAAACAUAUUACCGAAGCUGUGGAUUGUCCUUUGGACAAUGGUAGGAGAGCGUUCUAAGGGCGUUGAAGCAUGAUCGUAAGGACAUGUGGAGCGCUUAGAAGUGAGAAUGCCGGUGUGAGUAGCGAAAGACGGGUGAGAAUCCCGUCCACCGAUUGACUAAGGUUUCCAGAGGAAGGCUCGUCCGCUCUGGGUUAGUCGGGUCCUAAGCUGAGGCCGACAGGCGUAGGCGAUGGAUAACAGGUUGAUAUUCCUGUACCACCUAUAAUCGUUUUA